AGCAGCCGCGGUAAUUCCAGCUCCAAUAGCGUAUAUUAAAGUUGUUGCAGUUAAAAAGCUCGUAGUUGAAUUUCGGGAUCAGUAGGUCGGUCAUGCCUAAGGUAUGUACUGGUCUCACUGGUUCCUCCUUCCUGAUGAACCGUAAUGCCAUUAAUUUGGUGUUGCGGGGAAACUGGACUGUUACUUUGAAAAAAUUAGAGUGUUUAAAGCAGGCUAACGCUUGAAUACAUUAGCAUGGAAUAAUGAAAUAGGACGUUCGAUCCUAUUUUGUUGGUUUCUAGGAUUGACGUAAUGAUUAAUAGGGAUAGUUGGGGGCAUUAGUAUUCAAUUGUCAGAGGUGAAAUUCUUGGAUUUAUUGAAGACUAACUACUGCGAAAGCAUUUGCCAAGGAUGUUUUCAUUAAUCAAGAACGAAAGUUAGGGGAUCGAAGACGAUCAGAUACCGUCGUAG
rnacentral:rRNA from 1 species